rnacentral:rRNA from 1 species
UACGUAGGGGGCUAGCGUUGUCCGGAAUCAUUGGGCGUAAAGCGCGUGUAGGCGGUCCGGUAAGUCCGCUGUGAAAGUCGGGGGCUCAACCUCGAGACGCCGGUGGAAACCAUCAGGCUAGAGUCCGGAAGAGGAGAGUGGAAUUCCUGGUGUAGCGGUGAAAUGCGCAGAUAUCAGGAAGAACACCCGUGGCUAAGGCGGCUCUCUAGUACGGUACUGACGCUGAGACGCGAAAGCGUGGGGAGCGAACAGG